UACGAAGGGGGGCGAGCGUUUGUUCGGAUUUACUGGGCGUAAAGGGCGCGUAGGCGGCCGCUCAAGUCAGGCGUGAAAGCCCCCGGGCUCAACCUGGGAGAUGCGCUUGGGACUGGGUGGCUGGAGUUCGGGAGAGGAGCGUGGAAUUCCCAGUGUAGAGGUGAAAUUCGUAGAUAUUGGGAAGAACACCGGUGGCGAAGGCGGCGCUCUGGACCGAGACUGACGCUGAGGCGCGAAAGCGUGGGUAGCAAACAGG
rnacentral:rRNA from 1 species